UUUUUGGUGAAAGAGAUGCAAUUGUUGUAUUUGGGAACUAAUUUAAACAGUAUCUUAAAUCAUUUUUCUAAUUAAGUUUGGGAAAGGGGAAUAAACAAUUUCAACUAUUUUAAGUGGAUCCGAUGCAAACUUUUUUCUGUUUUUUUUUUUUUUUUUUGGUGAAAGAGAUGCAAUUGUUGUAUUUGGGAACUAAUUUAAACAGUAUAUUAAAUCAUUUUUCUAAUUAAAUUUGGGAAAGGGGAAUAAACAAUUUCAACAAUUUUAUUAUUUAACAUGCAUGUCGGCCAGAUUAUAAUGCAAAAUUUUAGGAGAAACAAAUCCAUGUGUUCUUAUAUUUCUUUAGUCAUUUCAUGUCUCCCAAAAACGAAACGAGCAUCUUCUGGAUAAGGUUCUUGACGUCAAUAAUUCAAUCAUGAAUCCUAAGUUUAUGCAUUGCUGAUCAAAUUAAACAUGGUAUAAUUUCAUUAUUAUUUUGUUGAAGUUAAUAAAUAACAUACAAAUUAUAUAAAAGAAGGAGAGAGCGAUUACAAAUAUAAAGGUUUUUCUUGACAAAGAAAAAGAACGACCACUGCUAAAGACGAAG
rnacentral:lncRNA from 1 species